GACGAACGCUGGCGGUGUGCUUAACACAUGCAAGUCGAACGGUAAGGCCCUUUCGGGGGUACACGAGUGGCGAACGGGUGAGUAACACGUGAGUAACCUGCCCUCAUCUCUGGGAUAACAGUCGGAAACGGUUGCUAAUACUGGAUAUGAGCCUGCAAGGCAUCUUGUGGGUUGGAAAGAUUUUUUGGUUGGGGAUGGACUCGCGGCCUACCAGCUUGUUGGUGAGGUAGUGGCUCACCAAGGCUUCGACGGGUAGCCGGCCUGAGAGGGCGACCGGCCACAUUGGGACUGAGAUACGGCCCAAACUCCUACGGGAGGCAGCAGUGGGGAAUAUUGCACAAUGGACGGAAGUCUGAUGCAGCAACGCCGCGUGCGGGAUGACGGCCUUCGGGUUGUAAACCGCUUUCAAUUGUGACGAAGCUUUUUGUGACGGUAGCAGUAGAAGAAGCACCGGCUAACUACGU
rnacentral:rRNA from 1 species